AACGAACGCUGGCGGCAUGCCUAACACAUGCAAGUCGAACGAGACCUUCGGGUCUAGUGGCGCACGGGUGCGUAACGCGUGGGAAUCUGCCCUUGGGUUCGGAAUAACUCGCCGAAAGGCGUGCUAAUACCGGAUGAUGUCGUAAGACCAAAGAUUUAUCGCCCAGGGAUGAGCCCGCGUAAGAUUAGGUAGUUGGUGAGGUAAAAGGCUCACCAAGCCUUCGAUCAGUAGGGGUUCUGAGAGGAAGGUCCCCCACAUUGGAAACUGAGACACAGUCCAAA
rnacentral:rRNA from 1 species